rnacentral:tRNA from 1 species
GGAACGGUAGCUCAAUUGGUAGAGCAUGAAACUUUUAAUUUCAGGGUAAUGAGUUCAAAUCUCAUCCGUUCCACCA